GACGAACGCUGGCGGUGCGCCUAACACAUGCAAGUCGAACGGAGUUGUGUUGAAAGCUUGCUGGAUAUACAACUUAGUGGCGGACGGGUGAGUAACACGUGAGUAACCUGCCUUUCAGAGUGGAAUAACGUUUGGAAACGAACGCUAAUACCGCAUAACAUGAAGGAACGGCAUCGUUCUUUCAUCAAAGAUUUUAUCGCUGAGAGAUGGGCUCGCGGCCGAUUAGGUAGUUGGUGAGAUAACAGCCCACCAAGCCGACGAUCGGUAGCCGGACUGAGAGGUUGAACGGCCACAUUGGGACUGAGACACGGCCCAGACUCCUACGGGAGGCAGCAGUGGGGGAUAUUGCACAAUGGAGGAAACUCUGAUGCAGCGACGCCGCGUGAGGGAAGACGGUCUUCGGAUUGUAAACCUCUGUCUUUAGGGACGAAAAAAUGACGGUACCUAAGGAGGAAGCCACGGCUAACUACGUGCCAGCAGCCGCGGUAAUACGUAGGUGGCAAGCGUUGUCCGGAAUUACUGGGUGUAAAGGGAGCGUAGGCGGGGAGACAAGUUGAAUGUUUAAACUAUCGGCUCAACUGAUAGUCGCGUUCAAAACUAUCACUCUUGAGUGCAGUAGAGGUAGGCGGAAUUCCUAGUGUAGCGGUGAAAUUGCGUAGAUAUUAGGAGGAACACCCAGUGGCGAAAGGCGGCCUACUGGGCUGUAACCUGACGCUGAGGCUUCGGAAAGCGUGGGUAGCAAACAGGAUUAGAUACCCUGGUAGUCCACGCCCGUAAACGAUGAUUACUAGGUGUGGGGGGACUGACCCCUUCCGUGCCGGAGUUAACACAAUAAGUAAUCCACCUGGGGAGUACGACCGCAAGGUUGAAACUCAAAGGAAUUGAGCGGGGGCCCGCACAAGCAGUGGAGUAUGUGGUUUAAUUCGAAGCAACGCGAAGAACCUUACCAGGUCUUGACAUCGAGUGACGAACAUAGAGAUAUGUUUUUCCUUCGGGACACGAAGACAGGUGGUGCAUGGUUGUCGUCAGCUCGUGUCGUGAGAUGUUGGGUUAAGUCCCGCAACGAGCGCAACCCUUAUCAUUAGUUGCUACGCAAGAGCACUCUAAUGAGACUGCCGUUGAUAAAACGGAGGAAGGUGGGGAUGACGUCAAAUCAUCAUGCCCCUUAUGACCUGGGCUACACACGUACUACAAUGGUGAUCAAACAGAGGGAAGCAACACAGCGAUGUGAAGCAGAACCCGAAAAAUCAUCUCAGUUCAGAUUGCAGGCUGCAACUCGCCUGCAUGAAGUCGGAAUUGCUAGUAAUCGCGGAUCAGCAUGCCGCGGUGAAUACGUUCCCGGGCCUUGGUACACACCGCCCGUCACACCAUGAGAGCUGGCAACACCCGAAGUCGGUAGGCUAACGCAAGGAGCGCGCCGCCGAAGGUGGGGUCGAUGAUUGGGGUG
rnacentral:rRNA from 1 species